UACGGAGGGUGCAAACGUUGCUCGGAAUCAUUGGGCGUAAAGCGCACGUAGGCGGCGAGAUAAGUUGGGUGUGAAAGCCCUGGGCUCAACCCAGGAAGUGCAUUCAAAACUGUCUCGCUUGAAUCUCGGAGGGGGUCAGAGAAUUCCCGGUGUAGAGGUGAAAUUCGUAGAUAUCGGGAGGAAUACCAGUGGCGAAGGCGCUGACCUGGACGAAGAUUGACGCUGAGGUGCGAAAGCGCGGGGAGCAAACAGG
rnacentral:rRNA from 1 species